rnacentral:lncRNA from 1 species
CUCUCAGAAGGCGCCAGAACGUUGAAUGAUGACUCUGCAGUCUUUGGCUGAAAAACAGUAGCGCAUUUGGAUAGUGGUCGAUCUGAGAACAAUGAGACGGGCGCACGCGUGCACGUGAAGAGGCCAUUUUACAUUUUCAGUCUUUGAACGAAAACAACGACUCCCGGUCGGAAUAUUAUCGCUAUUUUACGAGAAAAAUCGCAUAAAAAUGGAUUUUAAACAGCGUUUGACAUGCUUCGAAGUACGGUAAUGGAAUAUUUUGAAUUUUUUUGUCACGAAACGCGCCGGCGCGUCACCCUUCGGAUAGUGUCUUGAACGCACGAACAAAACGCCGCUAUUUGGAUAUAACUAUGGAUUAUUUGGAACCAAACCAACAUUUGUUGUUGAAGUAGAAGUCCUGGGAGUGCAUUCUGACGAAGAACAGCAAAGGUAAUCCAAUUUUUCUUAUAGUAAAUCUGAGUUUGGUGAGUACCAAACUUGGUGGGUGUCAAAAUAGCUAGCCUGUGAUGGCCGGGCUAUCUACUCAGAAUAUUGCAAAAUGUGCUUUCACCGAAAAGCUAUUUUAAAAUCUGACACCGCGAUUGCAUAAAGGAGUUCUGUAUCUAUAAUUCUUAAAAUAAUUGUUAUGUUUUUUGUGAACAUUUAUCGUGAGUAAUUUAGUAAAUUCACCGGAAGUGUUCGGUGGGAAUGCUAGUUCUGAACGUCACAUGCUAAUGUAAAAAGCUGUUUUUUGAUAUAAAUAUAAACUUGAUUGAACAAAACAUGCAUGUAUUGUAUAACAUAAUGACCUAGGAGUGUCAUCUGAUGAAGAUCAUCAAAGGUUAGUGCUGCAUUUAGCUGUGGUUUUGGUUUUUGUGACAUUAUAUGCUAGCUUGAAAAAUGGGUGUCUGAUUAUUUCUGGCUGGGUUCUCUCCUGACAUAAUAUAAUGUUUUGCUUUUGUUGUAAAGCGUUUUUGAAAUCGGACAGUGUGGUUAGAUAAAGGAGAGUCUUGUCUUUAAAAUGGUGUAAAAUAGUGAUAUGUUUGAAAAAUUGAAGUUUUCGGAUUUUCGAGGGGUUUGUAUUUCGCGCCACGCCCUAUCAUUGGAUAUUGGAGCGGUGUUCCGCUAGCGGAAAGUCUAGAUGUAAGAGGUAGUUAAGACGUGAAAUCUGCUGCCACCCACAAGAUGCAGUAGUGAUAAAGUCCAGAGAAUGUGGAGUUCCUUAUCAUUCAUCAAACUGAAGUUGAUUUGGUGUUCAGCAGCAUAAGUGUCUGACCACUGAAGAGAACGCAAGUUCUACAGCUACAGCAGGUCAAUCCACCAAUAUAUGUCAUGCACCAUGGGCAGAUGUAUCGAAGUUUGCAAGCUGGUCUUAUGGGUUGCAGUUUGUGUGACCUUCAUCGUCUUGGGUGCCGUGUACAUUGAUGACUGCCCAGUGAAACGUAUCAUACCUAUCCACAUGAUCAUUUCUGGAUCUUUCGGUCUCCUCUAUGUAUUCUUCUCCUGCUACAAGGACCGUGUUGUGUGCCAACAUUUGUCUAAACUAUUUUGGUUCAUGAUCAUCAUCUGGCUCAUUAUUGGCCAUUUUUGGACCUUCUCUGUAUUCCAACCCAACUACGAACGGAAAGAGAUCAUCGGCAACACGGUAUACUGCAACAAAUCUCUAUACCUCUUUGUGGCCUCUACCACCAUCAUAUUGGACAUUAUUAUAUGUGUGUGGCUGCUUGUGUUGUUCGAUGUAUGUAAAUGCUUCAUACUUUGUCUGUUCUGCUGUGUCUCUUUAUGCAUGUCUGACGAUGUCAAACCUGUGGAGGUUGUUGAGCCUUUGAGGGUUGUGGAGACUGAGGACUGUGUUGAACCUAAGGAGUGUGUGGGGACUGACGGAAGUGUGGGGACUGAAGUGUGUGUGGGGACUGAGGUAUGUGUGGAGACUCAGGAGAGUGUGGGGCAUGACGAGAGUGUGGGACAUGAAGAGAGUGUGAGUCCAACACUGCUCAAUAUUAAUGCAAUUCACUAUUCACAAUACCAAUAGUAAUUUACAUGAAUUUGUCUCUUUUGGGGGUGAGAUAAUGUAAAAAAUGUAGAUGUCAUCAUAAAAAAUAAGCAAUCAAUGGGUAAAUUUGUGCCAUUAUGUUGCCAAAGAUCAGAAGAUUCAAAUAAAAAUAUUAAUUCCCACUUUGAUUUUCAAGAUUUAAAAUAUACCUAUUUUAUCAUUACCAUUUUUGAACAGAAUGAUAAUCAUUUGGCUAAUAGGCUUAACACACCCGCCCUGAAAUAGUUUAGUGGAACGGCCCAUCAACGAAAACGCAUACCCAAAGAAAAUGGACAGGUGUGUUAAAAUGCCUGGGCCGACUUUUGGUCCGAUUUUGCCCCUGCUGUGGUUCGUAAAUCAUUACAAUUAUAAUAACUAACUGGAUCAAAUUGUGUGACCAUCAUCUUAGUGCUUGACAAAUACUAGGCCUAAGCACAAUGCCUCUCCCCUAUUUGACCUAGAUAGUUUGUGUACGUAUUAAUAUGUAGGCUAAGUGUGCCUUUAAUAAAAAAAUAUAUAAUUUACGUAGUUCUGUCCUUAAGCUGUUGUCUAUUAAUGUUCUGUAUUAUGUCAUGUUUUGUGUGGACCCCAGGAAGAGUAGCUGCUGCUUCACUAGCACAGAGAGGCUGCUGCCUAUUUACACAGACUUCAAAUCACUGGCCACUUUAAUAAAUGGAACAAUAAAUGUUUACAUAUGUUGCAUUACUCUUCUCAUAUGUAUAUACUGUAUUCUAUGCUGUUCUACUGUAUCUUAGUCAAUGCCGCUCUGACAUUGCUUGUCCAUAUGUUUAUGUAUUCUUACAGUUUUUCACAAUUGCUAAAACACAAUUUCUGAAACCUUGCUCCAUUUCCUGAAAACAUUAAACACAAAACCUCAUCUUCAAGCACUAUUUACAUAACCUCUGACUCCUCUCGCAAAAUGAAACAUUCGCCUCAAAACAGUUUUACCUGUGUUCAAAAUCAAACACUGCUCUCAAAUCAUAAACAAAGUGAUCAAAAUGAUAUACACUCUCAAGCAGUCAGUAAACAAUAUACCGAAAAAUAGAAAACACAUUGUUCAAAACAUACAAUUCUCAGGGAGAAGUACAUUUUUAAUCUAAAAAAAUAUUCAUAUUUUUCUGUCAUUGUCUUUUGAUGAACGAAAACAUGUUCUAUCAUAGUAGCUCAAAAUUAAUCAGAAAUUACUACUCUGCUUUGCUCUUUGCAAUUUUGUUUUUUGUUCUUCCUCCUCCUUGUACCCCUAUUUUUACAGUACUGUACCCUGCAUCUCACAAACUUGUCCUUUGUCUCUGUGAUACUGUAAUUCUUGUUCUUUGUUGAUAUGAACCUGCAACCAGUCAAAAUCUAUUGAGCAGUCAGUACUGUUAAUAAAUGGAAAGCACAAUGUUCAGGGCCAUACAAUUUGUCCAUUGUACAGUAUACAGCCUACAAUGCACUCACUGUACUACAGUAUACAAUACUAAAAGGGACAAAAAUCAAAGGAGUAAAUAUGUGAUCAAUGUGCUUCUUCUUGUCUUUCGGCUGGGUCAGGCCAGAGCAUUUCGUCGACAUCACAAGCAAUAUUGUCCCUCCUGAGGCAACGGGGGAAGAAGUCUCUUGUGUGCCGUAUCCAGCCCUGACCUGAUUCCUCACCUAUAUCACCACAGGCUAAAUCCAUGGCUUGCAGCAGAUUUACUCUGGUGUAGGGUUGUCUAUCAUACACUUUCCAUCUCCAAGAGGAGAAAAACUCCUCAAUCGGAUUCAGGAAAGGUGAGUAUGGAGGGAGGUACAAGUUCAUAAACUGCCCAUUGAUGUUAAACUAUUCCCUUACCUGAGCAGCUCGGUGGAAACUGACAUUGUCCCACACUAUCACAUAGGUGGGAAUGGGAUUCUCAUUUAGCUCUUGACCCUGCUGCUCUUGAACCUGCUGCUCAAAUAAAAUAUCUCUUAGAUUGGCAAUAAAUCUUAGAAGGUGCUGGGUGUUAUAUGGCCCGAGUGUAACAUGGUGAUGUAGAACACCAUGGUUGCUGAUAGCAGCACAGAUUGUGACAUUGCCACCUCGUUGACCAGGGACUUCAACAAUGGCCCGCUGUCCAAUCAUGUUUCGGCCUCUCCUUCUCCUCUUUGUUAGAUUGAAGCCUGCUUCAUCGACAAAGAUGAACUCAUAGGGUCUGUCCAAGGAUUCCAAGUCAAAUAUUGUCUGUGUAGAAAUACAAUAUACUGUAUGUAGGAUUUUGUAAGACAUACAGAGACAGUGCUAUACUGUAGAGUACAAUUAGGCCUACUGUAUGCACUUCUGAUUCACAUACAUUGUAUGUACUGAAGAGUAAUGUCAUUCACAUAGUAUGUGUUAGUACUGUAGACAAUCUGGAUUACAGUAAAUGUUUCUGAAUGUACACUUACUUGCACAUACUGAGCUCGCAGUUCUUUCACCCUUGGUGAGUUGCGCUCAAAAGGUACUCUGUAUACUUGUUUCAUUUGCAUCCUGUUACGAUGGAGAACACGGCCAAUUGUGGAAAUGCUCACACUGUCGAUUCCCUGGAAGUGUGUGUUGUCUUGUAUCACUCGUUCCUGGAUAUCUCUGAGUCGUAUUGCAUUAUCUUGAAGGACCAUGCCAACUAUAACGGUCUCUUGCUCCCGAGUGAAUAUAGCUGUCCUUCCACCUGCAUGUGGCAGCCUUGCAAUUCUACAAAAAGUAGUUGUGCAGUUACAAAACAUAUUCAUGCAGUACAAUACAUACAGUGAUUAACUUUACAAAUGUCUAUUGAAACAGCUGCAUAUAGUGUAGUACAGUAAAUUUGCAAUUACAAAAAUACAGUAGCAUACUGUACCUGUUCUCUUCCCUGAAUGUCCUUACUAUGGUGGACACAGAAAAUCGGCUCAAAUUGGGUUGCACUCUAAGUCCUGCUUCCCUCAUUGUCAGUCCAUGGACAAGAACAUGGUCUAUAACUGUUGCUCGAAUUUCAUCAGAUAUUUCCACUCUUUGUCUUCCUCUUCGUCCUCCUCUUCCUCUUUCUUGCCCUCCUCUUCCUCCUCGUCGCCCACCUCGCAUACGCACUCGUCCUCUCACAUUGUUUCUUCUAUCCAUUCUCAGACUUUCUCCUUCCCACCUUCAACAACCUGUUUGCUCUCUGAACUGGCUUAUAUUGGUUGUGUCGCAUCAUUUGAAACAGGUUAAAUCAAUUUUGAGUGGUUGUGUUCAAUCAAUGACAUGUGUUCUCUAUUUGUAUUUGAUUGUUGCCACUUGUGUUUACCAGUAUGGAUGACAUGUGCAUUAGAGUGCAGAAUGUGUUUUGAGAAUGAGAACGUGUUUAGAGUUUUGCUGAAAAGUCUAAGUGAGAUCUGCAAAUUGUGUUUUACCAUGUGAAUAAUUAGCUAAAUGAGUCCAGGCAACUGAGAACUUUGUUCAGCCAAUGGGUUUUAGUGUUUUAGCAAUUGAGAAAAACUGUAAUUCCAUUCCUUAACUUGGACUGUGUGUAUUGGGUAUAUGUUGUGAACUUGUUAGAUGUCACCUGUUAGAUAGUACUGCACUGUCAGAGCGAGAAACACAUGCAUUUCGCUACACGCGCCAUAACAUCUACUAAACACAUAGAUAUGACCAAUAAAAUGUGAUUUGAUUUGCUUUUGCAAUAGCUAAUGGGGAUCCUAAUAAAAUACCCCAAAUACCAAGCUUAUGGGUCUACUGUCUGUUACCAAUAUCAGCAAUAUUAUAUGCAGCAGCUUGUUUACUUGGAAUAAACAGAGCAAAUAAUGCAAAUGAAUACAAGUCAGACAGAGACUAAAUCGAAGUUUGAACGUAUUAUGGCUCAAUUUAAUUGAUCAAAUGUGUGUUGUGUUCUUCCAUAAUAAAAAGGCCAGGGCUUCUAGGCUGGU